rnacentral:lncRNA from 1 species
UCUGCGGCAACAGCACCACUACUCGCGGCGGCAGUUUGCCUUAGACUGGCCUUUUUUGGAAAGUUUUUGCCGGUUUUGGUGAGUUUUAUACCCAUCCUGCGAGAAAACAAGUUAGGGGGUCUCGGUUUGCCCAAAAAAGUUGAAAAAUAAAAACUUACCAGCAGCGGGAUUUUCUGGUACGGUGGCUCACCUUCGCGGUUGGGUGUUUUUUUUUUGUCAACUUGUAGAAAACAGAAUGGUGAAUACAAUGGUGAAAAAAUAACAUAAAAUGGGAAUCGAAAAGGAGCUUAUAGGAGGCGAUUUUUAAUUUUGCCCGCGGUGGCAUCGCCAGGCUUUACCCGCAGUUUUCGGCUCAUCCGCCGAUUCUUUUGCUCUGAUUUGAUCAUGGGGGUGUUCAAAAUCAAAUUUCAAGUGAAUGAGAGAAUUUUUACUUUUUUUAGCGGUCGAAUGUGGCUCUGGCGCGGCAGCAGGCUGCUCCCUUCUCUGGAGACUGGUUAUUCUUCUCCGACAAGAGACUGGCGGCU